GCUAGGCAGAAGUGUCUGCCCGGUAAAUGCGUGUUGUGAACCCUUCAGGUGAUGGGUUAACAGCCAGGUGGUGACUGGAUGACAUGUGGGAAGAGAGCUGUAGGCAGAAGAUCCAGUUUCAUCUUGUGCACAGGACAGAAGUGAAAUCUGGUAUGAAAAUAUGCUUCUGCGAGGCCCACGGAAACUGGAGCAAACCAUCCAUAUUCAUCUUCCUUUGGGGAAUGUUCCUGCUCAGCAUGUUCAAAUAUUUGG